rnacentral:rRNA from 1 species
GACGAACGCUGGCGGCGUGCUUAACACAUGCAAGUCGAACGGAAAGGCCCUGUUUUUGUUGGGUGCUCGAGUGGCGAACGGGUGAGUAACACGUGAGUAACCUGCCCUUGACUUUGGGAUAACUUCAGGAAACUGUGGCUAAUACCGGAUAGGAGCUCCUGCUGCAUGGUGGGGGAUGGAAAGUUUCGGCGGUUGGGGAUGGACUCGCGGCUUAUCAGCUUGUUGGUGGGGUAGUGGCUUACCAAGGCUUUGACGGGUAGCCGGCCUGAGAAGGUGACCGGGCCCAUGGGGACUGAGAGACGGACCAGACUCCUACGGGAGGCAGCAGUGGGGAAUAUUGCACAGUGGGCGGAAGCCUGAUGCAGCAACGCCGCGUGCGGGAUGACGGCCUUCGGGGUGUAAACCGCUUUCGCCUGUGACGAAGCGUGAGUGACGGUAAUGGAUGAAGAAGCACCGGCUAACUACGUG